CUUCCAGAAGGGCGAGAGCGCUGCGCCGCGCGGUGGGCAGCGUGUGUCCCACAGAAGCGUUGAAUGCACCUGUGGCAGAAGGUGGUGUUGGUACUCAGCCUCGGUGCAGCCACUUUGCCCCCAAACUUGCCUUGAUGGCGUGGGGUAGGGAUUGGCCACAGUGGGAGCUGGCCGUGGCUGCUGUAUGCUUUGAAUUUUUGAGUUCUACUCAAAACAGAUUUCCAAGUCGAGUGCUGGAAAUGCAUCCUACCUGUGGGCAUGGUUGAAGUUACCAGCACGCAAAGAGUACACGCAGCAGUCAGUGUUUGCAAACAGCAAGCAAAACAGGUUAAAUUACGCUGUGGGUGUCGUGAAUGGAAGUGGUGAGGAAGUGUGUUCUUGUAACCACAACUUUGUCCUGCCAUUGCACUCUGACAACCCUAGUGCUGCGUGUUCCUGAAGUGCGGCUGGCCCUGUGGCAGAGGCAGUGUGUGAGAAGCCUGCACCCACAGCAUGGUGAUGUUACCUGCAAGUUCAUUUCUGCACAUGAGCCGGAGCGUGAGUGCUUGGGAGGAAGGCAAAACUACACCCCACCUUGACAGGGAGAGAGCAGAAGGCAGGGACUGUGAAGAUAGGUUGAGAGAAGAGGCCAGGCGAGCAGUUCUUCUUGUAGGUCUUGAAGGCGUUGAUGUUCUGCUGAGUUCCUUCUUCAUGUAACAAGGACUGGGCACUGCCAAAGUUAUGGACUCUCUUUCUAAUGAGAGCUGACCGGACCUGAAAUGAGUUUCAGAGCUUUGCUGUGUCUGUUAGAGAAGACUGUGGGAAACAGUCCAAGUGAACAGGGAUAUGACUGGCUUUUGCUGCAGUUUUGCAUAAGCUUGGGAAGGGAUGGUUCUUCUGACUUCAGAAUGAACUAUGAAGAAGCAUUUGGCUGGAAGAAAAUGUGAUCAGAGCCAAGGUGCUGUUUCGGAGCACA